AUGAGCAACGUGUUCGGCGUCGGCGGCCAUGGCCGUGGUGAUUACGGCCAUGGAGGAGGAGGAGGAGGAGGAGGGGAGCAGCACGGGGGCGCGGACGGCACGCUGCUGUGCUACUUCCACCCGAGGGAGCUGCUGGUCGGGGUCUGCGCGCACUGCCUCCGGGAGCGCCUGCUGCUGCUCCUCGCCGCCAAGUCCGGCAACGGCGGCGGCACGGGUCGAGCGCGCCCGCCGGCCGACGGCGCCAGCUACCUGUCGGCGCGGCCCUACUGCCGGGCGCUCCGGCGCCGGACGGGGAGCAUCUCCAGCUCGCUCCCCAAGGUGUUCGCGCUCGGCUCCUUCCUCCAGCGCCUCGACUCCUCCCGCCACCACCCCCACCACCACCACCCCGACGAGGCCGUCCACGACCACGACGGUUGCGAGGACAAGAACGCCGGCGGCGAGGACGAUGACGACGCCGCCUCCAUCGCGAGCCUCGACGACUCCUUCAUAUCGAUCAAGUUCGAGGACAACGGCAAGGCGACGUGGGUGGACAGCCAGCAGACGUCGCUAAAGCCGGCGCGCGAGGCCCCGGCGGCGGCAUCCACCACGACCAAGACGACGGCGGCGACGAAGACGGCGUUGGUGGUGGAGCAGGCGGGGCGGCGGGGCGGCGUGACGCGGUGGCGGAAGCAGGUGGUGGGGCGGCUGCUGCAGCUGGCGCGGUGGAAGCGGGCGUCGGGCAAGCAGUCGUCGUCGUCCUCGGCGGCGGCGGACCAGCGGGCGAAGGCGCGUGGCGGCGGCGGCGGCCGGGGCUGGAUCCGGAGCCUGACGCGGCGGCGCGCCGCGCACGGCGAGAGGGCGUGGUCGUGA
rnacentral:rRNA from 1 species